AAGGAAAGGCAGCAGGCGCGUAAAUUACCCAAUCCUGAUACAGGGAGGUAGUGACAAUAAAUAACAAUGCCGGGCCAUCAUUGGUCUGGCAAUUGGAAUGAGAACAAUUUAAAUCCCUUAUCGAGGAUCAAUUGGAGGGCAAGUCUGGUGCCAGCAGCCGCGGUAAUUCCAGCUCCAAUAGCGUAUAUUAAAGUUGUUGCAGUUAAAAAGCUCGUAGUUGGAUUUGUGGCGUACGGUGUGUUCCGGGCACUUGUUGUCUGAGUAACCUGCUGUUGCCAUCCUUGGGUCGAACCUGUGUGGCAUUAGGUUGUCGUGCAGGGGAUGCCCAUCAUUUACUGUGAAAAAAUUAGAGUGUUCAAAGCAGGCUUAUGCCGUUGAAUAUAUUAGCAUGGAAUAAUGAGAUAGGACUUUUUUGCUAUUUUGUUGGUUUGCGCAAAGAGGUAAUGAUUAAUAGGGACAGUUGGGGGUAUUCGUAUUCCAUUGUCAGAGGUGAAAUUCUUGGAUUUUUGGAAGACGAACUACUGCGAAAGCAUUUACCAAGGAUGUUUUCAUUAAUCAAGAACGAAAGUUAGGGGAUCGAAGAUGAUUAGAUACCAUCGUAGUCUUAACCAUWAACUAUGCCGACAAGGGAUUGGUGGAGUCUCGUUAUGUCUCCAUCAGCACCUUAUGAGAAAUCACAAGUCUUUGGGUUCCGGGGGGAGUAUGGUCGCAGAACUUGAAACAA
rnacentral:rRNA from 1 species